rnacentral:rRNA from 1 species
GACGAACGCUGGCGGCGUGCUUAACACAUGCAAGUCGAACGAAGUGGCGAACGGGUGAGUAACGCGUAAUCAACCUGCCCUUCAGAGGGGGAAAACAGUUGGAAACGACUGCUGAUACCGCAUACUGAAGGAGGGGAUUGCGUCUGAUUAGCUAGUUGGCUGGGUAAAGGCCCACCAAGGCGAUGAACAGUAGCCGGUCUGGGAGGAUGAACGGCCACCUUGGGACGGGGACACGGCCCAGACUCCUACGGGAGGCAGCAGUGGGGAAUCUGCCGCAAUGGAGGAAAGUCUGACGGAGCAACGCCGCGUGAGUGAUGACGGCCUUCUGGUUGUAAAGCUCUGUUAAUCGGGACGCGGUACCGGAAUAGAAAGCCACGGCUAACUACGUGCCAGCAGCCGCGGUAAUAC